GAUGAACGCUGACAGAAUGCUUAACACAUGCAAGUCAACUUGAAUUUGGGUUUUUAACUUAGAUUUGGGUGGCGGACGGGUGAGUAACGCGUAAAGAACUUGCCUCACAGUUAGGGACAACAUUUAGAAAUGAAUGCUAAUACCUGAUAUUAUGGUUAUAGGGCAUCCUAUAAUUAUGAAAGCUAUAAGCACUGUGAGAGAGCUUUGCGUCCCAUUAGCUAGUUGGAGAGGUAACAGCUCACCAAGGCGAUGAUGGGUAGCCGGCCUGAGAGGGUGAACGGCCACAAGGGGACUGAGACACGGCCCUUACUCCUACGGGAGGCAGCAGUGGGGAAUAUUGGACAAUGGACCGAGAGUCUGAUCCAGCAAUUCUGUGUGCACGAUGAAGUUUUUCGGAAUGUAAAGUGCUUUCAGUUGGGAAGAAAAAAUGACGGUACCAACAGAAGAAGUGACGGCUAAAUACGUGCCAGCAGCCGCGGUAAGGA
rnacentral:rRNA from 1 species